GAUGAACGCUGGCGGCGUGCCUAAUACAUGCAAGUCGAGCGAACAGACGAGGAGCUUGCUCCUCUGACGUUAGCGGCGGACGGGUGAGUAACACGUGGAUAACCUACCUAUAAGACUGGGAUAACUUCGGGAAACCGGAGCUAAUACCGGAUAAUAUAUUGAACCGCAUGGUUCAAUAGUGGAAGACGGUUUUGCUGUCACUUAUAGAUGGAUCCGCGCCGCAUUAGCUAGUUGGUAAGGUAACGGCUUACCAAGGCAACGAUGCGUAGCCGACCUGAGAGGGUGAUCGGCCACACUGGAACUGAGACACGGUCCAGACUCUUACGGGAGGCAGCAGUAGGGAAUCUUCCGCAAUGGGCGAAAGCCUGACGGAGCAACGCCGCGUGAGUGAUGAAGGUCUUCGGAUUGUAAAACUCUGUUAUUAGGGAAGAACAAAUGUGUAAGUAACUAUGCACGUCUUGACGGUACCUAAUCAGAAAGCCACGGCUAACUACGUG
rnacentral:rRNA from 1 species